UCCGGAUUUUGUUGCACUGUUAGGUCAAGUUGUGGGGGUUCCUUUAUUUAUUUCGUUUUCUGUCAUUUUCUCUCAUUUUGGGGAUGCAUCUCUCUGUUCUGUGUAUUGUUCUUUGUUUUAAGGUUUCUUCUUUUCUUUUUUUUGUUUUUUUGGGUUUUUUUUUGUGGGCUUUCAGUGAGUUGAUAUUUUCAUUUUCCAUUUUGCUGUGAAUUUUCUUCAAUUUGAUCGAACAUCUCGAUACGAACAGUUGAUUUUCAAUUUAUCUUUAAUUUUCUAGAGGCCUGUUGGUUGCAUGUACAAGAAAUACUUUUAUAUUAUGUUUCAAUUUCAAAGUUGUUUGAUAUAUGACCUUUAGUUUGUAUUCUUAUAUGGAAUUGUGCAAGGUUGCCACUCUUUGCCCCCUUUCGAUUGUGAUCGAGUUUAUUGUUUUGUUCUUUCUUAUUGUAAAUGUCAUUUUGUUUGUAAAGUUUAGUUUAUAAACUGUACUUCUAUUUACUCUUUGAAUUUAUUUUUUUGUUUAUGUUGUCGUUUCUUGAUUUUAGUUUCUGUGGAUUUAUAUGGUUCUGAUUACAGAAAGUAUUGUCAUUGGACAAAAACUCUUACAAGCAAGCUGCAAAUCUGUUCAAAGAAACCAAGAUCUGUUAAUAUCAAAUACGUCAGCCAUUGGCAAUGGAAUAAAAGUUGGGUCGUGGGAGGAAGAAGCUGGUUCGUUGCCAUUUUUAGUUGUAUAAGUUUUCCAUAGGCUUCGAUCAUCUCCCCAAUAAACCCAGAGCCUCAUUUUCUCCUGCUAAGCAAAAGAAAAUCAAGGAGGCCUGCAACUUCGUAUGCAGUCCGCCACUGCAAAUCAGUCUGGAAACUGGAAAAUUCAAAGGUCAUAUUUUUCACUUUCUGGAUGUGCAAAGUUUGGAUAGUACACAUCACCGGGCCAAACCUUUCUCAGGAAUGUCAUUCUAAAAGGAUAUUGGCAGGAGGGGGUGAAAUGUCAUUCUAAAA